CCCCCCCCUCCCCAAGAUCCGCCAGUGGCCCGACUAAUUCGCCACUAUCACGCCCGAGUUGGUGACUGACAAGCUAGUCGGGGCCAUAAUAAGGCCCAGAGUGAAUUUGUGCUAGGAAUAUCUACUGUACCUUUUAACGAUCUUAUUUUUGCACAUAUCUCAAGCAAUUUGAUAAAGAUACGGUGAUAACAAAAGUGAUGAAGCUCGAAAUGCCUACACUUCAAGAAGUGCUGGAGGAUAAUGGUGGAAACGAAGAUUUCUUGCUACAUUAUGUAAAUUUCGGCAGUGGUUAAAACAACAAAUUCAUCUUCCUCAAGAUAUCUCCGACCAACAAUUAAAAUUUUUCAUUUUUACUGUCAAAUUUGAUUUCGAAAAAGCCACAAAAUGUUUAGAUAUGCUUUACACUCUUCAUAAUCUUAUUCCUGAAAUUUACGGUAAUCUUGAUCUUCUUAGUGAUGAUAUAAAACUAUACAACACAUACUUGUAAGCAAUUAAGUCAAUUAUAAGGUAUUUUUAA